rnacentral:rRNA from 1 species
AUGGGCCGUGGUCGACCACCUCCUCCCAUGGGCCGUGGUGGUUUUGGUGGAGCACCUCCUCCAAUGGACCGUGGUGCUUGUUGUCCAUCACUUACUCCCAUGGGCCAUGGUAGUCGUGGUCCACCAUCUCCUCCCACGGGUCGUGCUGCUCAUGGUCCAGCGCCUUCUCCCAUGGGUCGUGCUGAACCACCUCCACCGAUGGGUCAUGUUGGGCCACGUGUGAGUAAUGCUUCAACACCUCUUCCUAUGGGUAACACAACACAAGGCCAUCCUAACCGCACUGAGCAGAUGUCGCCUAAGAGCAACGACAAUGACGAUGCAACUCCUAGGGAUCCGCCAAAGUCAACUACAUAA